CCGCCGAAAGAUCGGGACCCGUCGGUC
rnacentral:sRNA from 1 species